AUUGAACGCUGGCGGCAGGCCUAACACAUGCAAGUCGAACGAGUGGCGGACGGGUGAGUAAUGUCUGGGAAACUGCCUGAUUGAGGGGGAUAACUACUGGAAACGGUAGCUAAUACCGCAUACCAUCGGAUGUGCCCAGAUGGGAUUAGCUAGUAGGUGGGGUAAAGGCUCACCUAGGCGACGAUCCCUAUCUGGUUUGAGAGGAUGACCAGCCAACCUGUAACGUAGACACGGUCCAGACUCCUACGAGAGGCAGCAGUGGGGAAUAUUGCACAAUGGACGCAACCCUGAUGCAGCCAUGCCGCGUGUAUGAAGAAGGCCUUCGGGUUGUAAAGUACUUUCAGCGGGGAAGCGUUACCCGCAGGAGAAGCACCGGCUAACUCCGUGCCAGCCGCCGCGGUGAUUC
rnacentral:rRNA from 1 species